ACGACGACGACGACGACACCGGCGACAACAGCACUCGAUCGGCCAUGGCCGGACGACAUCUUCUUCUUCUUCCAGCUCGGUCACACGCUCAUCACACGUGCGGGCUGCAGUAGAUGACCUUGAUCUCCUGGACGUGGCUGCACCUUCCGCUAGGCACCUGGGACACGGAGCACCGGCCGGAGACGGGGCACCCGACGGCGGGGCACUCGCCGAGGAGCGGCGCGCCGUGCGGGGAGACGAUGACCGGAAACUCCUGCCCGGGGCUGCGGGUGUUGGCGGCGAGGUAGAACGACCCGCCGUCGACGCCGACGUGGAACUCGGCGGUGGGGGCCCCCGUCGCGUGGAGCCGCCCCGUCCACCAGCACACCGGGAACUCGGCGUGGCUGUGCGGGUGCAGCGUGUACUUCGGCGCCCCGUUGAAGAGGUGCGGGCUGUUGGCGAGCGGCUCCAGGGUCAGCACCACGUCGCGCGCGCACAGGUUCUGCACCGUGAUCUUCUUGUUCUUGUCGCAGUUGUUGUGGUUCAUCUGCGC
rnacentral:lncRNA from 1 species